GAUGCCAUGGAUACUUAGGUUUUCAGGACGAAACCAACCCAGGGAGGGUGGUGUUCUACAGGAUGUAAGACACCGCAAGGCGGGUAAAGGAAGAACCAGCCUGCUCUGACAAAGAGUGAAUAACACCUCCGCAGGAGGGAAAAUUGCUGUAGCGGAUGUAUAGCGCCUCAUUGGACCGGAUCGCAGUCAGGAUGACCUUGCUGAUACUGAAUAAGUCCACUGAAUUGCAGGGAGCAAGAAUGUAGCCGGAUUGCUGCGAACAGACUGGGAGUACUGUUUUUUACAGUACUCCCUUUUUUAUCC
rnacentral:other from 1 species